UGCGUAGGCGGGUCUUUAAGUCAGGGGUGAAAUCCUGGAGCUCAACUCCAGAACUGCCUUUGAUACUGAAGAUCUUGAGUUCGGGAGAGGUGAGUGGAACUGCGAGUGUAGAGGUGAAAUUCGUAGAUAUUCGCAAGAACACCAGUGGCGAAGGCGGCUCACUGGCCCGAAACUGACGCUGAGGCACGAAAGCGUGGGGAGCAAACA
rnacentral:rRNA from 1 species